rnacentral:rRNA from 1 species
AUACAUGCAGUCGAGCGAAUCGACGGGAGCUUGCUCCCUGAGAUUAGCGGCGGACGGGUGAGUAACACGUGGGCAACCUGCCUAUAAGACUGGGAUAACUUCGGGAAACCGGAGCUAAUACCGGAUACGUUCUUUUCUCGCAUGAGAGAAGAUGGAAAGACGGUUUACGCUGUCACUUAUAGAUGGGCCCGCGGCGCAUUAGCUAGUUGGUGAGGUAAUGGCUCACCAAGGCGACGAUGCGUAGCCGACCUGAGAGGGUGAUCGGCCACACUGGGACUGAGACACGGCCCAGACUCCUACGGGAGGCAGCAGUAGGGAAUCUUCCGCAAUGGACGAAAGUCUGACGGAGCAACGCCGCGUGAACGAAGAAGGCCUUCGGGUCGUAAAGUUCUGUUGUUAGGGAAGAACAAGUACCAGAGUAACUGCUGGUACCUUGACGGUACCUAACCAGAAAGCCACGGCUAACUACGUGCCAGCAGCCGCGGUAAUACGUAGGUGGCAAGCGUUGUCCGGAAUUAUUGGGCGUAAAGCGCGCGCAGGUGGUUCCUUAAGUCUGAUGUGAAAGCCCACGGCUCAACCGUGGAGGGUCAUUGGAAACUGGGGAACUUGAGUGCAGAAGAGGAAAGUGGAAUUCCAAGUGU